rnacentral:rRNA from 1 species
AGUGGAUGGGGAGCAACCUAGUUGUGCGUGUGUAAAGGUAGUGCCAAGAAAAGCGAUGAUCAUGUUGAAAAUCAAUUCCCGGUACCCGAAACCGACACAGGUGGGCAAGUAGAGAAUACUAAGGGGCGCGAGGUAACUCUCUCCAAGGAACUCGGCAAAAUGACCCCGUAACUUAGGGAGAAGGGGUGCCACCGAGAGGUGGUCGCAGUGAAGAGGCCCAGGCGACUGUUUAGCAAAAACAUAGGUCUCUGCAAACUCGAAAGAGGAGGUAUAGGGGCUGACGCCUGCCCAGUGCCGGAAGGUUAAAGAAGUUGGUCAGUUUUAGGAUGAAGCUAGCGACUGAAGCCCCGGUGAACGGCGGCCGUAACUAUAACGGUCCUAAGGUAGCGAAAUUCCUUGUCGGGUAAGUUCCGACCCGCACGAAAGGCGUAACGAUCUGGGCGCUGUCUCGGAGAGAGGCUCGGCGAGAUAGGAUUGUCUGUGAAGAUACGGACUACCUGCAUUUGGACAGAAAGACCCUAUGAAGCUUUACUAUAGCUUGGAAUUGUGUUCGGGCUUCCUGUGCGCAGGAUAGGUGGGAGGCGUAGAAGGUAUUCUUGUGGGGAUACUGGAGCCAACGGUGAGAUACCACUCUCAGGAGGCUAGAAUUCUAACUUAAUUAAGGACAGUUUCAGGUGGGUAGUUUGACUGGGGCGGUCGCCUCCAAAAAGGUAACGGAGGCGUACAAAGGUUCCCUCAGACUGGUUGGAAAUCAGUCGAAGAGUGCAAAGGCAGAAGGGAGCUUGACUGCGAGAAGUACAGUUCGAGCAGGGUGGAAACACGGUCUUAGUGAUCCGACGGUGCUGUGUGGAAGGGCCGUCGCUCAACGGAUAAAAGUUACUCUAGGAUAACAGGCUGAUCUCCCCCAAGAGUUCACAUCGACGGGGAGGUUUGGCACCUCGAUGUCGGCUCAUCGCAACCUGGGGCGGAAGUACGUCCCAAGGGUUGGGCUGUUCGCCCAUUAAAGCGGUACGUGAGCUGGGUUCAGAACGUCGUGAGACAGUUCGGUCCAUAUCCGAUGUAGGCGUGAGAAUAUUGAGAGGAGCCUUCCUUAGUACGAGAGGACCGGGAAGGACGCACCGCUGGUGUACCUGUUAUGAUGCCAAUUGUAAACGCAGGGUAGCCAAGUGCGGAGAGGAUAACCGCUGAAAGCAUCUAAGUGGGAAGCCCACCUCAAGAUGAGUAUUCUGGUGUAAGGUCACGGGAAGACGACCCGUAAAUAGGCACGAGGUGGAAGUGCAGAGAUGUAUGAAGCCGAAGUGUACUAAUAGACCGUCGGCUUGACC